CUAAUACAUGCAAGUCGAGCGGACAGAUGGGAGCUUGCUCCCUGAUGUUAGCGGCGGACGGGUGAGUAACACGUGGGUAACCUGCCUGUAAGACUGGGAUAACUCCGGGAAACCGGGGCUAAUACCGGAUGCUUGUUUGAACCGCAUGGUUCAAACAUAAAAGGUGGCUUCGGCUACCACUUACAGAUGGACCCGCGGCGCAUUAGCUAGUUGGUGAGGUAAUGGCUCACCAAGGCAACGAUGCGUAGCCGACCUGAGAGGGUGAUCGGCCACACUGGGACUGAGACACGGCCCAGACUCCUACGGGAGGCAGCAGUAGGGAAUCUUCCGCAAUGGACGAAAGUCUGACGGAGCAACGCCGCGUGAGUGAUGAAGGUUUUCGGAUCGUAAAGCUCUGUUGUUAGGGAAGAACAAGUACCGUUCGAAUAGGGCGGUACCUUGACGGUACCUAACCAGAAAGCCACGGCUAACUACGUGCCAGCAGCCGCGGUAAUACGUAGGUGGCAAGCGUUGUCCGGAAUUAUUGGGCGUAAAGGGCUCGCAGGCGGUUUCUUAAGUCUGAUGUGAAAGCCCCCGGCUCAAC
rnacentral:rRNA from 1 species